UUUAAUUGAAGAGUUUGAUCAUGGCUCAGAUUGAACGCUGGCGGCAGGCCUAACACAUGCAAGUCGAGCGGCAGCACAGAGGAACUUGUUCCUUGGGUGGCGAGCGGCGGACGGGUGAGUAAUGCCUGGGAAAUUGCCCGGUAGAGGGGGAUAACCAUUGGAAACGAUGGCUAAUACCGCAUAACCUCGCAAGAGCAAAGCAGGGGACCUUCGGGCCUUGCGCUACCGGAUAUGCCCAGGUGGGAUUAGCUAGUUGGUGAGGUAAGGGCUCACCAAGGCGACGAUCCCUAGCUGGUCUGAGAGGAUGAUCAGCCACACUGGAACUGAGACACGGUCCAGACUCCUACGGGAGGCAGCAGUGGGGAAUAUUGCACAAUGGGCGCAAG
rnacentral:rRNA from 1 species